AGGCGGCGCGCGGGGAGAGCGGCAGUUAGCGCCGGGGUCUGCCGCCGUCCUGCUUUGGGGGCGUUGAGGGCCGGGCCGGAUGGGGCCCCGGGCUGCCUGACCCGGGGGUGGCAGCCCUGCCCGCGGCAGGGGGUUAGAUCUGGACAGAAGCAGCAUCACUUUCUCCUUUGAACUGCGGAAGGGCAAUCGAAUGAGGAGGCUGAACGCUACCUCCGGGAAGCGACACAACGCAUAUUCCCGGUGCGCUUCAGACAUGCCUCUUUCCACGGCAGUGCUGAUCAAAGUCUGAGCUUUCCGAGAAAACCACUCUAUAUUUGGGAAGAGAGGAGAUACCGAACAGAUUGCUGUGUCAGGAGACUGUCCCUUAUGUCCCACCCCGCGGACCCCGGUGUGCCAUCACUCCCAGGCAGUCCUGAACGGAGCCAUGAAAAUUGCUUUGAAAUCACAGCAGACAAAGAGGAAACUUUUGGACAUCGUUUAUUUUGGGAUGUUCCAAACCAAAGCUAUCU